UAGGGAAUCUUCCGCAAUGGACGCAAGUCUGACGGCGCAAUGCCGCGUGAGUGAAGAAGGAUUUCGGUUCGUAAAACUCUGUUGUUAGAGAAGAACAGCGCAUAGAGUAACUGUUAUGCGUGUGACGGUAUCUAACCAGAAAGCCACGGCUAACUACGUGCCAGCAGCCGCGGUAAUACGUAGGUGGCAAGCGUUGUCCGGUUUUAUUGGGCGUAAAUCGAGCGCAGGCGGUCAAUUAAGUCUGAUGUGAAAGCCCCCGGCUCAACCGGGGAGGGUCAUUGGAAACUGGUUGACUUGAGUGCAGAAGAGGAGAGUGGAAUUCCAUGUGUAGCGGUGAAAUGCGUAGAUAUAUGGAAGAACACCAGUGGCGAAGGCGACUCUCUGGUCUGUAACUGACGCUGAGGUUCGAAAGCGUGGGUAGCAAACAGG
rnacentral:rRNA from 1 species